rnacentral:lncRNA from 1 species
GAAAAAUAUAUUAUAUACAGAAAGAAAGAAAAAAUACUAUUUUGGCCUUCUGGUAUAUCUUAUCAUAGAGCUGUCAAUGAUGAAAUGGAUGCAGAUGAAACAUGGGACAAAUAUAAACUUAUCAAAAUCAAAUUUGAGAGUGAAUUAAUAUAUGAUGUACUGGAAAAAUAUCUGAUGGCACAUUUAAAGUGAAAAGUAAUGUUUAUGUUACCAGAUUUUCCGUUGCCUCCACCAGUUUUGCAAUCCAUACCAACAAAAUCAUUAAAGAGAUCAUUUGAUUUUAAUUUGUCACCUGGAUCAAUUAUUUUAAAACAAUCAAAUAUUUGUUCUGCUUUGCCAGACUCUUCACCUUUACACACAGAGGAACAAUCAACUUCGUAUUCUGAGUCACUGUCUUUGCCUAACUUUUUUUACCUUCAAA